UACGUAGGGGGCAAGCGUUAUCCGGAUUUACUGGGCGUAAAGGGAGCGUAGACGGCAUGGCAAGUCAGAUGUGAAAGCCCGGGGCUCAACCCCGGGACUGCAUUUGAAACUGUCAGGCUGGAGUGCAGGAGAGGUAAGCGGAAUUCCUAGUGUAGCGGUGAAAUGCGUAGAUAUUAGGAGGAACACCAGUGGCGAAAGCGGCUUACUGGACUGUAACUGACGUUGAGGCUCGAAAGCGUGGGGAGCAAACAGG
rnacentral:rRNA from 1 species